AGUACUUUAACACCGUUGGACACUGUUUCUUCUCAUCUUGAGAUUGGAGACGAGGCACCGAUAAGUUCUUCUACACCGUUGGACCCUGAUUCUUCUCAUCAUGAUAUUAGAGACGAGAAAGGUACACGCAUCUAUUUACUCAGCUCAGACACACAUGGCAGAGAUGAUGUAGACGUGGAUGACAGGGUAGAAGAAAGUUAUUGUUAAAAUUCUCCGAGGUGGCUGACAAAUGACUCCCCUUCAGUAAUAUUUACUACGUCACCCACCGAAAAUGAUCCAUAAUUUUACCGAAUCCUCAAAAAAGCACAUGGUUUGUUUACAUUUACAUCCCUUAUCUCAAGAUUGAAAUUUAUUAGGUACGUUAAUAAUUGAAAAAAUUAAUAAUUAUUAAUUUAUAUAUUGACUUAUUUAUUUCUGAUAUUUAGACAGGGUGACUUAUUGUCACCAAUAGUGGUGGUCUUCAAUGAGGCCCUGUUAAACAUAAUAAGGAACAAUAGUUU